UCUGGUUUAAUUAACUCUAAUAGCUCUGGGAUCCUACUCAUCUUUACCCGAAAGCUUACCUGAGUGCAAUAUAAACAAGUAGUGAAAUGUCCACAGAAGGAAUAUAGUAAAAUCUGAGCAGAAGCAAAGACGGCGGGGGAUGAAUAGUUGAAGCUUGAGAUUUUCAGGGCAGCGAAACUAUUCUAUGUGUUGUAAUAGUGAUUGCAUGACAUCACGCGUUGGUCAAAAACCCACAGGCCAUCUGAUCCAGUAAUUCCAAUUCUGGGCAUAAAAAAAUUGAAAGCAGCGACUCAAGCAGGUAUGUUUAUACCAAUCUUCAUUAGCAGCAUUAUAGCCAUGAAGCAGAAACAACCCAAGUGUCUACUGACAGAUGAAUGGAUAAACAGAAUGUGGUUGAUGCGUACAAUGGAAUGUUAUUCAGCCUUAAAAAGGAACGAAAUUCUGAUACACCCUACAACACGGGUGAACCUCGAAGACACUGCUGUCCUAAGUGAAAUAAGCCAGACAUACUUAUAUGAACGAGGUACAUAAAAGAGUCAAAUACACAGAGACAGCUGAACAGUGGUUACCAGGGGUGAUGCAGAGUUACUGUUCCAUGGGUACAGAGUUUUGGCACAGGAUCGUGAAAAAGCGCUAGAGCCAGAGACGCAUGGUGGUGAUGACUGCAUAACAAUGUGAAUGUAGUAAACACCGCUGAACCGAACGUGGAAAAACAGUCGAAAUGGGUGGCCUAAACAUCAAGCGAGAACUAUAAACUUGACUGCCUACCAGGGAAAGACACUGAAAGUGAACCAGCAGAGGACAAACACGAACGGUCAGAGCAGUGACUCAAUGAGAAGCACAAUUCUUACCUAAAUGCAUUUUAAAAACAACAAAUCUCAACACUGUGCGAGCCAAAGAAAACUUACAUCUCAGGCUAAUGUGGCCUACAGACUUCCAGACCUCUGUGUGCUUUGCCAAAUGUCUCCUCGAAGGGAAAAUCGUGUGGCAGAGAAUAAAAGCUUAAAAAGAAAAAAAAAAAGCACAAAUCUCCAAGAUUCCUUUCUCAUAAAGGGGCCUACUCGUACAAAUUACAUGAGGUAAAUGGAACAAAGCCUCUGCAUGCCUACCUUGCGCAUCUGACUUAGCAGAUGAAUCAGGACAAGGCACACGGGGUACAGGCCUUGGAGGUCAGAAAACAGGCCAGCAUUUCAUCAAGCCUUGCCUCCUCAGCCAGGUGUUUUGUGCAGCACAUAAUAUACAAC